AACGAACGCUGGCGGCAGGCUUAACACAUGCAAGUCGAACGCCCCGCAAGGGGAGUGGCAGACGGGUGAGUAACGCGUGGGAAUCUACCCAGUUCUACGGAACAACACAGGGAAACUUGUGCUAAUACCGUAUACGCCCUACGGGGGAAAGAUUUAUCGGAAUUGGAUGAGCCCGCGUUGGAUUAGCUAGUUGGUGAGGUAACGGCUCACCAAGGCGACGAUCCAUAGCUGGUCUGAGAGGAUGAUCAGCCACACUGGGACUGAGACACGGCCCAGACUCCUACGGGAGGCAGCAGUGGGGAAUAUUGGACAAUGGGCGCAAGCCUGAUCCAGCCAUGCCGCGUGAGUGAUGAAGGCCUUAGGGUUGUAAAGCUCUUUCAGUGGGGAAGAUAAUGACGGUACCCACAGAAGAGGCCCCGGCUAACUUCGUGCCAGCCGCCGCCGUAAAAC
rnacentral:rRNA from 1 species